GAUGAACGCUGGCGGCGUGCUUAACACAUGCAAGUCGAACGGAAAGGCCAGUGCUUGCACUGGUACUCGAGUGGCGAACGGGUGAGUAACACGUGGGUGAUCUGCCCUGCACUUCGGGAUAAGCCUGGGAAACUGGGUCUAAUACCGGAUAGGACAAUGGUUUGGAUGCCGUUGUGGAAAGUUUUUUCGGUGUGGGAUGAGCUCGCGGCCUAUCAGCUUGUUGGUGGGGUAAUGGCCUACCAAGGCGUCGACGGGUAGCCGGCCUGAGAGGGCGUACGGCCACAUUGGGACUGAGAUACGGCCCAGACUCCUACGGGAGGCAGCAAUGGGGAAUAUUGCACAAUGGGCGCAAGCCUGAUGCAGCGACGCCGCGUGGGGGAUGACGGCCUUCGGGUUGUAAACUCCUUUCGCUAGGGACGAAGCGUAUUUGUGACGGUACCUGGAGAAGAAGCACCGGCUAACUACGUG
rnacentral:rRNA from 1 species